GGAAUGUCGGGAUUGUGGUUGCUGAAUGGGGGCAUUGAUAAGGGUCAUCGUGGUGCGAUAUGGUAUGAGCGCAAGCUUGAGCCUCUCGUCACUCGCACUCCUAAGGAAAACUGGAAGAUACACUCAGGAUGGCUUCAGCGGUUGAAAUGGGCCGGCCUUUUACCUUUCGCGCGUCUGGUUGAGUCUAUCCCGGGUGAGAAAUGCAUCGCCAUCGAUGGGUCUUUGCUGAGCUGCUUAGUGGACCGUUGGAGGCCAGAGACCCACACGUUUCACUUCAGAUGGGGAGAGAUGGCUCCUACUCUGGAGGAUGUGUCACUUUUGCUCGGACUACCGUUGGCAGGUCAUGCCGUAGGACCGUUGGACGCACCGGCUGGUUGGGAGCGAGCUCUUACAGAACGUUUUCACGGUGUUUUUCCGGAUGCUCCCGAUCCGGUAUGGGAGCAUCACGGACCUAAGUAUGAGUGGUUGCUAAAUUUUCGGAUCCAGAACUUCCGGGCGCCCUUGACUGCGGAACAGAUCACUCGGAGCCUCGAGGCCUACUUACUGUGGCUUUUCGGCAAGGUGAUGUUCACGGAGAACCAUGUCACCACUAUUAGCGCCCUCUACAUCCCUAUGGCACUCGAGAUAGCGAGCGCUCAGACGGCGGAUCAGAUCAGACGGAGGAGUUGGGGUUCGGCGGUGUUAGCG